rnacentral:rRNA from 1 species
ACGCACGCUGGCGGCGUGCUUAACCCAUGCAAGUCGAACGGAAAGGCCCUGCUUGCAGGGUACUCGAGUGGCGAACGGGUGAGUAACACGUGGGUGAUCUGCCCUGCACUUCGGGAUAAGCCUGGGAAACUGGGUCUAAUACCGGAUAGGAGCCAUUUUUAGUGUGAUGGUUGGAAAGUUUUUUCGGUGUAGGAUGAGCUCGCGGCCUAUCAGCUUGUUGGUGGGGUAAUGGCCUACCAAGGCGGCGACGGGUAGCCGGCCUGAGAGGGUGGACGGCCACAUUGGGACUGAGAUACGGCCCAGACUCCUACGGGAGGCAGCAGUGGGGAAUAUUGCACAAUGGGCGCAAGCCUGAUGCAGCGACGCCGCGUGGGGGAUGACGGCCUUCGGGUUGUAAACUCCUUUCGCUAGGGACGAAGCUUUUUGUGACGGUACCUAGAUAAGAAGCACCGGCUAACUACGUG